GAAAAAUGGAGCUAGUUUGAAACAACUAAAAAUUUGGUUGACUAUCAAACUAUAAUUAUGGUUGUUUCAAAAUGAUUAAUUAUUUGUUUCUAUCUUGCGGUAUAAGUUAAAACAAACUGUUUUAUUAGGUUAUUUCUACACAAUAAAAUGUUUGUUUCUAAAUGGAUUUUAGUUGAUUCCAGCUGAGAAAAUUGUUAUCUUCAACUAAAUAUUAGUUUGUUCUCACCAAAACAUAGCUUGAAUACAACGGAUCGUUCUGAAAAAAAUAAACUACUAUCUUAGGUUGACUUUAAUCUUUUUUAUCGGUAAUAAUAACUUGAUUUUUUGGUUGGGCGAAUAACAAACUUAAUAAGAAUUCAAAACAAACCCAUUUCUUAGUUUGUUUGAAACGCUGUCUUCCGCUCUCGUCCAUUCAUUUUAGGUUUGUGUUUUUUAGUUCGACAUGUUGUGGCAAAUCAUUGUCGUUCGUUGAUUGGCAGUGUUAGGUGGCAAGCAAGCGGCUCAUAUUUCAAUUCACCAUGUUGCAAGUUUAUAUGGAACGCCGCCUAACAAGAAGGAGCAAAAUGGAUGCGGAUUGGCAUUCACAACAUUAAUUGAAAUCCAGCUUCAGCCCUUGCUUCACCCGAAAAUAUGAUUGUAGCAGUAUAUGUUAUUGUGUGGAAAAAUGUCUCAAUAUACUGCAUUUUAUACAACUUCGAAUGAAGGAUUAAUGGAGGAUUUGUUUAAGUUGUUCUGUUAGGAUCUGUAUCUACUAGCUCAUUCACCAGCCACUUGCAACGAAAAUCAAUUUUGUAAUCCAAUAUAUA